GGGUGCUUUGCUCAACGGAGCUUCGAUUCAUGGCGAGGUUGCACUCGGAGAGUAUGCUUUUGCUCGUCUGAUAAACAUUGAGCCUGAGAACACAGGGAACUACGUUAUCAUGGCGAAUUUAUACACCCAGGCCAGGAAGCUAGAGGAAGCUGAGAUGGUCAGGGAGAAGAUGAGGAAGAUGGGGCUGGGAAAGAUACCCGGCUGUAGCUGGGUGGAAACGACUGAUGGGUUACACGCCUUCGUCGCUCAGGAUACAUCAAGUGCUCGAUCUGAAGAGUUGUGUGUUAUGCUCGAUGGCUUAGACGAGUUGAUGAGAGAAAAUGGUUACGCUUAUCAAGCGGAAUCGGAAGAUGAAACCCUUGACAAUGGAUAGGUGGGUAGGUGUAGUGCAGAGACCGCCACAGGAAACUCGUCCUGUGGGGGCACAGAGAGAGCGAGAGAUUGGGUCACUGAACAUUAGUGCAAAUCUCCAGAAGAUAAAGAUCAGAUGAUAGAGAAAAAGAAGGGGUACCCUAAGUUAGAGAAGGCCGAAUGGACGGUGAUUUGGUCGAGACAAAUGUGAGAUGAUCAAUACCGGAGAGGUGAAGGACAGCAAGAUUUCAAGAAAGGGAGCCACCGCAGAGGAGGAUGGCAAUAUGAAAGAGCAGAAGGGGAGAGGAUCUGACAAGCACAGCGCCAUACCUCCCGGUGACAUUGUCUGCCCCUUAAUCUCUCAAGCCUUCCUAGUCCCUCUGUAUUAACUGAUGAUACGAGAGUUUAUUUAUUAUCUUCCCAUAUAAUGGGGCUUAAGGCACACCUGAGAAUAUCUGUUGAAAUGCAACUUCAGCGGAAGGUAUAGUUUGAUUGGAUUGCCCAAUUUUUUUGUGCAUUGAAUAAGAGCCCACAAUCAAAUUUUUCCGAUUAUCCUCACAGAUUUCUUCAGAGAUCUCCUUGUUAGUCAUCAGAACAAGAAGACUCCCUUCUUGUAUAGUCCCUGUUUAUCGGUCGUCAGACCCAGCUGAAGGCUUCAUCACCUUCAAGUAGAAAAGCUCAGAGAGACCAAAGUAGUGCUAGAAGUGAGCCUGCAGUUUAUAGUUCCAUCGCAUUUCAAGUGGGUUAUGUUUUUCGCUCACAACAAUUGGAGCCCUAACUCACACGACAAAGAAGGGAAAAUUAUUUUUAUAAAUGAUGCAUUAUCAUUAAUACAUCCCAGUCACAAAUAUGGUUCAUAAGGUUCCAAAAAUGAAAUUCAUGUGAAAAAAACAGUAAUUUAUGCCAAGUAUUUAGAGCAAUCGAAGAGGUUUGUAAAGUCAAUCGUCAUAGUGUUGGGUCUUAACUAACUCAUAUUCCUAGAAAAUCUAGUAUCCCGGCUGACUCUUUAAAGGUUCAAGAUGCCCUGUGAACUUGAGGAUCACCGAGGAGUCAAAUCAUCAAACGCGUCAAACUCUGACUACGGAAUAUUCAGCCUCCAACAGUCAGUCCCUCCAGACAGACCCUAUGCGGCACAAUUCACGAAGAAACAUGAAGCUCACAUUUUCUUCAAAACUCCCACAGAAGAUACUUUUGACAAAAUAACUUCAUGUCAGGCUCCAGCAUUUCACACUGGAUUCCUCUUCUUCUCUUCAGACACUUGAACCAGCAUCCCAAAAAUCGCUGGCCGGCGCGGCUUCCCCCUUUGACCAAAAGGCUCUUUGCAGGACCUGCUGCUGCCACUGAAAGAGAUGCUAAUCGACUGCAAGCCCACAUUUCCUGGGGAGCUAGAUGAAAGUAUUGUGGUAAGAUGUGCAUCAUUUGUACCAUGCCAUUUCUGAAUGGUUGGAACUGGCUUUUAACAGAGGUGUUUGCAUUUCUUCCAGGUAGACAGGCCGUGGUCCUCCCCAAGGUUAACGAAAGGUUCAUACUAACCUUUCUGCUGCUUCACACGCCUCAUUUCUGCUCCCUCGCAUAUAUUUGACCACAAGUCUAUCGAUCUUUUACUGAGUCCAGUUGACCCCAUUUUCUCCAGCAGAUAAUUAGUCAAAGAUCCCUUCUUCUUACCAUGUUGGCUGCCUCUUUGCCGGAAAUAAAAUAACCCUACAGAACCAUAAGGAGAGCUCCGAGUUCUCCCCUGCAACCUGUAUCCAUUCCAGUGGAUGCCCAUGUAAAUGGGCUUCUGGGUUCUUCUCAUGAUGGAUGGCCUUCCAUCAUCAGAUUCGCAGUUCAAGAAAACCAUUUGAAUCAGUAUUUCCAAGCCAAAAGAACCAGAGAAUUCACUCAAUCUGCUAUCACGCCUUCUCUUCAAAGAGUAUUUCCCUCAUUACCCUUCUGCACUGGAAUCAUCCACCGUCUUCUCUUCAAAGAAGGCUGUGAAUACUUUUUUCUGUGCAGUCAACCUCUGAAAACCCUUUUGAGCGCACCCAAUAUCAAGCAAACAUCCAUUUCGAUUCCAUGCCAUUCACCUCGGUUACCGACUUCUAAGUGACCAUCUCUUCCUCCUCCUGCUUUUUUUUCCCUCCUCGAUCUCCUGUGGACCGAGCAGCUUAGAAGAGUUCAUCUCCUCCAGCAGCUCAUCAGCCAUCUCCAAUUUACCAGCCUUCUUAAGGCUGCCCACCAGCCCACGGAAAAUAUAGACUGAUGGGCGCACCCUGGCCCUCUUCAUCUCCCCAAGAACUCUGACUGCCUCAUCGGUGCGCCCCGCCCGCCCGAAGCCGUCGAUGGCCGCCAUAUAAGUCUGCAGAUCCGGUUCUAUCCCUGCAUCCACCAUCUCCUUCAGAUAGGCCGAGCAGAGAUCCAGCCUGCCAAAUCUCCGAAGGGAGUUGACCAGCGUAUUAUAGGUGAUAUGAUCAGGAACAUGGCCGAGCUCUUUCAUUGAGAUGAAUUCAGAUAUCAUCCUGUCAAUCUGGCCAUGCUUGCCUAAUAUAGCUAAAGCUGUGUUGAAUGUGGCAGAAUCCAUCUUCCGAAAGCUGUUCUUCAUGUCCUCAAAGAUCAUCAGGGCAGUGCGAGGUUGACCCAUUUUAGCCAGGAUGAAGAUGAUUCUGUUGACCACUGUGGGUUCUCUGUCGCCGGUUAUCUCCAUCACCUCCUGGGCAAACCUGAGUAUCUGGCUUGGAUCAGCCGCCUUCUGAAGAGACCUUGCUAGGUGAGUGUAGGAGGAUGGAUCAGGGGGCGAGUUGGAGAGAAGUAAGCCCUUGAAAAUCUCCAAGGCGAGAUCGCAGCCAUUUUUUCCAGCUGCUGCUGCAGCUGCUGCAGAGAGCAGGUCGUUGUAGGUUUUCAGGCUCAGAGGGAUCCGUCUAGAGCGCAGCUCCCUCAACAAGCGGUUGACUUCUUGGGUCCUCCCAGAUUUGCAGAGCUUCUCCACAAAGCUGCGGCAGGCUUCCUUAGAAGGGUGAUCCCCCUCCAUGGUUGAAAUGAGGAGCUCGUCUUCCUCCUCGCGUUGACUUCUGGGUAUGGCUGCGUGGAUAAGUCGAUGACUGUGCAAGGCGGUGAGGGAGAAUAUGUGGCCAGUGGGAGCAGUAUAAAUCUGCAGUGGAGGAAAAAGAGUUGGUGAUGUGAAAGAAGAUAUGAUUUUCAGAUAUGAGGAGAAUCCUAACGCUGUCAGGAAUCGGUAGAACUGGUACAGAGUUGACUAAAAAUAGAGUGAUUUGAGGCUGCACACUGGGUAUCUGCGUACGGAGUCAACGCUAGAAUCAGGGUCCUACACGGAGACCUAAAUUUCGACAGAAACCCUAAAUUUCCACAGAGGGAGUGGGAGAUCCUGCCGUGAUGCGGUCAUCUUUGAUCGCACAUCGUCGCCAAGAAUGGGAGCGAAAUCGGUCAAAUGAGGAAAAGAUACCGUCACCUUCGUUGGAUUGCAGAGUUGGAUCUGCCCGGCGGCUGCGUUGACGGAAGAACCAGGAGGAUCUCGCAUGGACCUGUUCUCAGCAAGGAAUUCUAGAGAUUCAGAGUUGGAAAUGAUUCAGGCAAAGACGUAGAGACUGAGAUCAAUAUUUUGCAGCAGGAAGAAGUCAUCGGAUUCCUCUCUCUCUCUCUCUCUCUCUCUCUCUCUCUCUCUCUCUCUCUCUCUCUCUCUCUCUCGCUCUCUCUCUCUCUUGCUCGCUCGCUCGCUCUGGUGGCUGAAGAGGAGGGAGAAAGGGAAGAAAACUGGAGCUCUGGAAGCUACGAAGGGCAUCGGGAACCCUCACCUUCUGGCAUGAGGGAGUCCCAUCGCCGGAGCACGGAAGGCUCGAAGGGCGGCGCGGAAGGAUGGCCGGGGAGGGGCCAUCGGUCGCCGCCGUGGUGCUCCGCCACCGAUUGGCCCUCUUUGCGGGGGGCGGUGGAAGCCCUUUUUUCCGAAAGUUCAGCGGGCAGGGAGAGCCCCCCAGAACCGCCGGAGUCUCGUCGGCGGGAUCUGCCGCCGGCGGGGCGCGGCGGCGCCGCGUCGGCACCAACGGGGAAGCCGUAAAACCCUCGCUCCACCUCUCUAAGGCCCCGGUUCGGCCCGCACUCUGAGUCAGGAGCCCCGCCUCCAAACUCUAUAUCUCUCUCUCUCUCUCUCUCCUACCCCCACCCUCACCUGGACCGGUC
rnacentral:lncRNA from 1 species